rnacentral:tRNA from 1 species
GGAGAGGUACCCGAAGCGGUCCACGGGACCCGGGCUCCGGCCCGGGGCGGGCUCCGGCCUCCGCAGGUUCGAAUCCUGCCCUCUCCG